AGGGGCAUAGCCAAGCGGCAAGGCAACGGACUUUGACUCCGUGAUUCGUAGGUUCGAAUCCUGCUGCCCCUGCCA
rnacentral:tRNA from 1 species